UACGGGGGGGGCAAGCGUUGUUCGGAAUUACUGGGCGUAAAGGGCUCGUAGGCGGCCAACUAAGUCAGACGUGAAAUCCCCAGGCUCAACCUGGGAACUGCGUCUGAUACUGGAUGGCUUGAAUCCGGGAGAGGGAUGCAGAAUUCCAGGUGUAGCGGUGAAAUGCGUAGAUAUCUGGAGGAACACCGGUGGCGAAGGCGGCAUCCUGGACCAAUUCUGACGCUGAGGAGCGAAAGCCAGGGGAGCAAACGGG
rnacentral:rRNA from 1 species